GCGGCGGGUGCUAUACUGCAGUCGAGCGGACAGAUGGGAGCUUGCUCCCUGAUGUUAGCGGCGGACGGGUGAGUAACACGUGGGUAACCUGCCUGUAAGACUGGGAUAACUCCGGGAAACCGGGGCUAAUACCGGAUGGUUGUCUGAACCGCAUGGUUCAGACAUAAAAGGUGGCUUCGGCUACCACUUACAGAUGGACCCGCGGCGCAUUAGCUAGUUGGUGAGGUAACGGCUCACCAAGGCGACGAUGCGUAGCCGACCUGAGAGGGUGAUCGGCCACACUGGGACUGAGACACGGCCCAGACUCCUACGGGAGGCAGCAGUAGGGAAUCUUCCGCAAUGGACGAAAGUCUGACGGAGCAACGCCGCGUGAGUGAUGAAGGUUUUCGGAUCGUAAAGCUCUGUUGUUAGGGAAGAACAAGUGCCGUUCAAAUAGGGCGGCACCUUGACGGUACCUAACCAGAAAGCCACGGCUAACUACGUGCCAGCAGCCGCGGUAAUACGUAGGUGGCAAGCGUUGUCCGGAAUUAUUGGGCGUAAAGGGCUCGCAGGCGGUUUCUUAAGUCUGAUGUGAAAGCCCCCGGCUCAACCGGGGAGGGUCAUUGGAAACUGGGGAACUUGAGUGCAGAAGAGGAGAGUGGAAUUCCACGUGUAGCGGUGAAAUGCGUAGAGAUGUGGAGGAACACCAGUGGCGAAGGCGACUCUCUGGUCUGUAACUGACGCUGAGGAGCGAAAGCGUGGGGAGCGAACAGGAUUAGAUACCCUGGUAGUCCACGCCGUAAACGAUGAGUGCUAAGUGUUAGGGGGUUUCCGCCCCUUAGUGCUGCAGCUAACGCAUUAAGCACUCCGCCUGGGGAGUACGGUCGCAAGACUGAAACUCAAAGGAAUUGACGGGGGCCCGCACAAGCGGUGGAACAUGUGGUUUAAUUCGAAGCAACGCGAAGAACC
rnacentral:rRNA from 1 species